UCUCGAGUAGUAUAGUGGCGAGUAUCCCCGCCUGUCAUACACUAAAAAUUAAUUAGAAUAUGAUCGCGGGAGACCGGGGUUCAAUUCCCCGCUCGAGAG